rnacentral:rRNA from 1 species
GCGUGGGGGCUGCUAUACUGCAGUCGAACGCGUCUCCGUUGAUGAUUUUAGGUGCUUGCACUUGAAAGAUUUAACAUUGAGACGAGUGGCGAACUGGUGAGUAACACGUGGGUAACCUGCCCUUGAAGUAGGGGAUAACACUUGGAAACAGGUGCUAAUACCGUAUAACAACCAAAACCACCUGGUUUUGGUUUAAAAGACGGCUUCGGCUGUCACUUUAGGAUGGACCCGCGGCGUAUUAGCUUGUUGGUAAGGUAACGGCCUACCAAGGCGAUGAUACGUAGCCGACCUGAGAGGGUAAUCGGCCACAUUGGGACUGAGACACGGCCCAAACUCCUACGGGAGGCAGCAGUAGGGAAUCUUCCACAAUGGACGAAAGUCUGAUGGAGCAACGCCGCGUGAGUGAUGAAGGGUUUCGGCUCGUAAAACUCUGUUGUUGGAGAAGAACAGGUGUCAGAGUAACUGUUGACAUCUUGACGGUAUCCAACCAGAAAGCCACGGCUAACUACGUGCCAGCAGCCGCGGUAAUACGUAGGUGGCAAGCGUUGUCCGGAUUUAUUGGGCGUAAAGCGAGCGCAGGCGGUUUUUUAGGUCUGAUGUGAAAGCCUUCGGCUUAACCGGAGAAGUGCAUCGGAAACCGGGAGACUUGAGUGCAGAAGAGGACAGUGGAACUCCAUGUGUAGCGGUGAAAUGCGUAGAUAUAUGGAAGAACACCAGUGGCGAAGGCGGCUGUCUGGUCUGUAACUGACGCUGAGGCUCGAAAGCAUGGGUAGCGAACAGGAUUAGAUACCCUGGUAGUCCAUGCCGUAAACGAUGAGUGCUAAGUGUUGGAGGGUUUCCGCCCUUCAGUGCUGCAGCUAACGCAUUAAGCACUCCGCCUGGGGAGUACGACCGCAAGGUUGAAACUCAAAGGAAUUGACGGGGGCCCGCACAAGCGGUGGAGCAUGUG